CAUCCACAACGCUGUCUUUGUUUUCUGCUUUUAAAAAGCUGAAACCGUCUCAAAAAGGGGCUUUGUCAUAACCUGUACCACUCAUUCACAUGACCGUUUUGGGAAAAAGAACAGUGGAUAGAGAUUUGUAAGUUAACCAGCAUGGAAUCAAAACCGAGGAGCUCGGAUCUGUGAUCUAACAAAUAGAUUCCCAAUGUACUCUGCAUGGCAGCCGUGCGAAGACCAAAGCUCACUUUCCAAACCGUAUGCGGAUACGUGUGUGUUGACGGCAUUUUCAGACUGGUCAUCUCAUUUCCUAUUUGUCAAGCAGGCAGUCUAAGACGAGGCUCCUCGCCUAUUUCUGCACCAGGGAGAUAAUAUCAGGCUCAUGCAACCAGAGGUUUGUUGGGAUGAGGGCCGAUGAUGUGAGAGGAGCAGCAGCGAUGAAGAUGAACGUCUGCAGCAGCUGUGAUGAAACACCAUCAUCAGCGACACCCAGCAGAACCAGAGGUGGACACCUUCGGCUCCUCUGUGGUUGUCGGUUCAUCCAGCAGACGUUUAAUCUGGCUGCGCUGCUGCUGAUUCCUCCCUGACUCUGAAUUCCACUUUAUUUCUCCUGCAUCUAAUGAGGUCGACAACAAAGCAGCUCC